rnacentral:rRNA from 1 species
AACACGUGGGUAACCUGCCUUAUAGUGGGGGAUAGCCUUUCGAAAGGAAGAUUAAUACCGCAUAAGAUUGUAGUAUCGCAUGAUAUAGCAAUUAAAGAGCAAUCGCUAUAAGAUGGACCCGCGUCGCAUUAGCUAGUUGGUGAGGUAAUGGCUCACCAAGGCGACGAUGCGUAGCCGACCUGAGAGGGUGAUCGGCCACAUUGGGACUGAGACACGGCCCAGACUCCUACGGGAGGCAGCAUG